rnacentral:pre_miRNA from 1 species
CUCAACUGUCCUUGAGUGAGGUAGAGUCGCGUUAUUGCGUCACCACGAUAACAUCAGUUUGUGGAAAAUUUGAU